GUUCUGACAACUUCAUUGUCGGACAAGACUUUGACCUGGCCAGCAUAACGGGACAAUUUUGUUUAGAAGAAAGUCAGUAUUGCUUGCGCUCUUUCACAAGCUUAGCCUUGACCUACUUUCAUAUUGUGCCAUUGAGUGAACGACAAGAAACAGUUUGUGAGAGAGCUAAGGCUCAAUACGAUUGUGUAAUGGAACAAGCGGCAGGUUGCCUGGAUCAAACGGACAGAUAUUUGAUGACAAGUGCAGAAUGGAUACGGGAAGGACUGGAUAAUGUUGGGACUUGCUCUAGUAACAAUAACGUUGCUAGAGAAUGUAGUCCGGAGCUAGCAAUGAAAUGUAUUGCCGACCUUGGCCAAAUAUUAAUUGAAGAUAUGGAAUCCACGUCGGUCGAUGUAGU